rnacentral:rRNA from 1 species
UACGGGGGGGGCAAGCGUUGUUCGGAAUUACUGGGCGUAAAGGGCUCGUAGGCGGCCAACUAAGUCCGACGUGAAAUCCCCAGGCUUAACCUGGGAACUGCGUCGGAUACUGGAUGGCUUGAAUCCGGGAGAGGGAUGCGGAAUUCCAGGUGUAGCGGUGAAAUGCGUAGAUAUGACACAGAACACCGAUUGCGAAGGCAGCUGACGAAACUGUAACUGACGCUGAGGCACGAAAGCGUGGGGAUCAAACAGG